ensembl:lncRNA
CUGCCUUUUGGGCUAAGGAGCACCACGGAGCACCUCCAUCUGCCUCCAUCACAAAAAAUUGCAGAUUGUGUGCAUGCUAACUGUACAGUUAGUAAUGUGAAAUGGUCAGACAGAUCUUUUUUCUGAGCUACGAUGUGGACCAAAGAAGAAAAGACAAGAAUAGAGAAAUGAAAAUACCAGGCUAGACAAAUUCAAAGGGACUUUUGUACAAAUAGCUUUAUUGAUUGCCAAAAAGCAAAUGAACUGGAGAGCAGAAUUCCCUCCACCAAAUGACAAAUGUGUUAUAAAUCACAAAGACAUUCUUCAACUUGAAAGACUGCAUUGUACCUCCUGGAAAACAUAAGAGAACAU